GGCCCUCCCUAUAAGGUAGACCUGCCUCUGUCCGUUUCUGAGACUCUUUACUAGAGCAGAAAGCCACUCAAGCGCCAGCCAUGCCAUACUGGCCACAGGGCAGCUGACACCUUGUGGUGCCCCACCCGUGUCCCUGACAAGCCCGGGUGCCACCGUGGUUGGUGCCCAACAGCUGCAUGACCAAGGACCCGGAGGCAAAGCACGCUGGGGUGUGGGGGCUGAUCUGACGUUGCCAAGCGGAGGCC
ensembl:snoRNA